rnacentral:rRNA from 1 species
AACAACGGGAAGAACCUUUCCGGGUUUGGACAUCUAGGGCCGACCCUACAGAUGGGGAUUCUCUUUGGGGAGCAGAGUAACAGGUGGGGCAUGGUUGUGGUCAGCUCGUGUCGGGAGAGGUUGGGUUAAGUCCCGCAACGAGCGCAACCCUUGAUUUUAGUUGCCAUCAUUCAGUUGGGCACUCUAAGGUGACUGCCGGUGACAAACCGGAGGAAGGUGGGGAUGACGUCAAAUCAUCAUGCCCCUUAUGACCUGGGCUACACACGUGUUCCAAUGGACGGUACAAAGAGCUGCAAGACCGCGAGGUGGAGCUAAUCUCAUAAAACCGUUCUCAGUUCGGAUUGUAGGCUGCAACUCGCCUACAUGAAGCUGGAAUCGCUAGUAAUCGCGGAUCAGCAUGCCGCGGUGAAUACGUUCCCGGGCCUUGUACACACCGCCCGUCACACCACGAGAGUUUGUAACACCCGAAGUCGGUGGGGUAACCUUUGGAGCCAGCCGCUAAGUGACAGAGUG